UAGGGAAUCUUCGGCAAUGGGGGCAACCCUGACCGAGCAACGCCGCGUGAGUGAAGAAGGUUUUCGGAUCGUAAAGCUCUGUUGUAAGUCAAGAACGAGUGUGAGAGUGGAAAGUUCACACUGUGACGGUAGCUUACCAGAAAGGGACGGCUAACUACGUGCCAGCAACCGCGGUAAUACGUAGGUCCCGAGCGUUGUCCGGAUUUAUUGGGCGUAAAGCGAGCGCAGGCGGUUUGAUAAGUCUGAAGUUAAAGGCUGUGGCUCAACCAUAGUUCGCUUUGGAAACUGUCAAACUUGAGUGCAGAAGGGGAGAGUGGAAUUCCAUGUGUAGCGGUGAAAUGCGUAGAUAUAUGGAGGAACACCGGUGGCGAAAGCGGCUCUCUGGUCUGUAACUGACGCUGAGGCUCGAAAGCGUGGGGAGCGAACAGGAUUAGAUACCCUGGUAGUCCACGCCGUAAACGAUGAGUGCUAGGUGUUGGAUCCUUUCCGGGAUUCAGUGCCGCAGCUAACGCAUUAAGCACUCCGCCUGGGGAGUACGACCGCAAGGUUG
rnacentral:rRNA from 1 species